GGGCCCGAACUGUUACAGUCCUCCGUUUGUCAUGGCCCGGACCUGACCGAGGAGCUUGCGGUGCAUGCCGUUCGGCUAGGGUCCCGUCUUCCCGGUCGGUCGUCGAAUGCGGUGGACUGCGUGCAGUGCGCCGCGACUGCUGCCGGUCGCGAGGGCGGUGAUUUCGUACUAUGCACCCACGACGUUGGCGGUCAUAUGGCCUCAUCCGACCCGUCUUGAAACACGGACCAAGGAGUCUAACAUGUGUGCGAGUCUUUGAGUGAUCGAAACUCCGAGGCGUAAUGAAAGUGAAGGCGACUUCGGUCGCUGAGGUGAGAGCCUUUUUCCACAAAAAAAAGGCGCAUCAUUGACCGACCUAUUCUACUCUUAGAAAGGUUUGAGUAAGAGCGCAUCUGUUGUGACCCGAAAGAUGGUGAACUAUGCCUGAAUAGGGUGAAGCCAGAGGAAACUCUGGUGGAGGCUCGUAGCGAUUCUGACGUGCAAAUCGAUCGUCAAAUUUGGGUAUAGGGGCGAAAGACUAAUCGAACUGUCUAGUAGCUGGUUCCCUCCGAAGUUUCCCUCAGGAUAGCUGGAACUUACGGCAGUUUUAUCAGGUAAAGCGAAUGAUUAGAGGUCUUAGGGUUAAAACAACCUUAACCUAUUCUCAAACUUUAAAUUGGUAAGAAGUCCGACUUGCUUAAUUGAAGCCGGACAGUGAAUGCGAGUUCCUAGUGGGCCAUUUUUGGUAAGCAGAACUGGCGAUGCGGGAUGAACCGAACGCGAGGUUAAGGUGCCAAAGUCGACGCUCAUCAGACCCCACAAAAGGUGUUGGUUGCUCUAGACAGCAGGACGGUGGCCAUGGAAGUUGGAAUCCGCUAAGGAGUGUGUAACAACUCACCUGCCGAAGCAACUAGCCCUGAAAAUGGAUGGCGCUCAAGCGUCGCACCUAUACCGUGCCGUCGGAGCAGAUGCGAAGCUCCGACGAGUAGGAGGGCGUGGGGGUCGUGACGCAGCCUCUGGCGCGAGCCUGGGUGAAACGGCCUCCAGUGCAGAUCUUGGUGGUAGUAGCAAAUAUUCAAAUGAGAGCUUUGAAGACCGAAGUGGAGAAAGGUUCCAUGUGAACAGCAGUUGGACAUGGGUUAGUCGAUCCUAAGAGAUAGGGAAAUUCCGUUUGCAAGCGCCCGAUCUUGGGCCGCCUAUCGAAAGGGAAUCGGGUUAAAUUCCCGAACCGGGACGCGGAUAUG
rnacentral:ncRNA from 1 species